CUGUGAAGCAGGUCUCACAGAGUAACGAGGUACUUAGAAGAAAUGAUGGCCAAUAUGUUUCCACAAGCAAAAUCUGGACAGGAAAUUGCACCCAAGUUUAAAUGCCCUGAGCAAACUUACAGAGCUGGUACAUGGAAACGCUAUCCAUGAGUCUGAAGGGACCAAGCUGUG